GUGGGUAGUUUGACUGGGGCGGUCUCCUCCUAAAGAGUAACGGAGGAGCACGAAGGUUGGCUAAUCCUGGUCGGACAUCAGGAGGUUAGUGCAAUGGCAUAAGCCAGCUUGACUGCGAGCGUGACGGCGCGAGCAGGUGCGAAAGCAGGUCAUAGUGAUCCGGUGGUUCUGAAUGGAAGGGCCAUCGCUCAACGGAUAAAAGGUACUCCGGGGAUAACAGGCUGAUACCGCCCAAGAGUUCAUAUCGACGGCGGUGUUUGGCACCUCGAUGUCGGCUCAUCACAUCCUGGGGCUGAAGUAGGUCCCAAGGGUAUGGCUGUUCGCCAUUUAAAGUGGUACGCGAGCUGGGUUUAGAACGUCGUGAGACAGUUCGGUCCCUAUCUGCCGUGGGCGCUGGAGAACUGAGGGGGGCUGCUCCUAGUACGAGAGGACCGGAGUGGACGCAUCACUGGUGUUCGGGUU
rnacentral:rRNA from 2 species